rnacentral:rRNA from 1 species
GAAAGCGGGGCUAAUACCGCAUAACACUCUGAAGCACAAGCUUCAGAGUCAAAGCCUUCGGGUGCUUGAGGAUGAGCUUGCGCCUUAUUAGCUAGUUGGUGGGGUAAUGGCCUACCAAGGUAAUGAUGAGUAGCCGGCCUGAGAGGGUGUACGGCCACACUGGAACUGCGACACGGUCCAGACUCCUACGGGAGGCAGCAGUGGGGAAUUUUGCGCAAUGGGCGAAAGCCUGACGCAGCGACGCCGCGUGGAGGAUGAAGGCCUUCGGGUUGUAAACUCCUGUCAGAGGUGAAGAAUGCCCUUCGGGGUUUGACGGUAACCUCAGAGGAAGCCCCGGCUAACUACGUGCCAGCAGCCGCGGUAAUACGUAGGGGGCGAACGUUGCUCGGAAUUACUGGGCGUAAAGGGUGCGUAGGUGGCUGAGCAAGUCGCUGAUGAAAUCCCGAGGCUCACCCUCGGAACUGUCAUCGAAACUGCUCAGCUUGAG